GACGAACGCUGGCGGCGUGCUUAACACAUGCAAGUCGAGCGGUAAGGCCCUUUCGGGGGUACACGAGCGGCGAACGGGUGAGUAACACGUGGGUGACCUGCCCUCAGCUCUGGGAUAAGCCUGGGAAACCGGGUCUAAUACUGGAUAUGACUCCAUGACGCAUGUUGUGGGGUGGAAAGCCUUGUGCGGCUGAGGAUGGGCCCGCGGCCUAUCAGCUUGUUGGUGGGGUGANGGCCUACCAAGGCGACGACGGGUAGCCGGCCUGAGAGGGCGACCGGCCACACUGGGACUGAGACACGGCCCAGACUCCUACGGGAGGGCAGCAGUGGGGAAUCUUGCGCAAUGGGCGAAAGCCUGACGCAGCGACGCCGCGUGAGGGAUGACGGCCU
rnacentral:rRNA from 1 species